CGUCCCUACUGGGACAGAGCCUGCUACUCAGCUUAGUGUUCUUAUGAGCACUUCCACAGUUAUUAACUGAGAGCUUAUCACCCCUAUUCUGGUUUACGACCGUAUCUGUCUUUCGAACGAAUGUAUCUAUUCGAAUGUAUUCGAAAAUGGUAUUCUUGUUUUCGUUCGUAUCCGUAUCGAACACGAUUCGUAUGCGAAAAAGUGUUACCGUAUCAGCACUCUUUCGAACCAAUUCUAAGCUGUCAAAAAAAGUAAACAGAACGGGGAUUUUUUUUCUUUUAUUUGCCAUUACUCAAAACUUCGUCGUUUGUGAUUCCUGAAUAACAUUGUGGUCAUCGGAGAUCCGGAUUUUUAGGCAUUUAAGUGAUUGAACGGGAUGGAAACAUUGAUGCUGGUCGCUGUGGGAGACGAGGAUGAGAUGGAGCAUAGGAGACGGCUAUGAUCCAAUUUCCGGGAGCAGUUCAAUGUUGUUGAAAUGCCUGAUUCAGAGUUUACCAACAACUUUCAUUCAAUUAGGCGGCAUAUAAGUCAACCUUGAAGAAAUCAGCGAUAAAUUCUUCCUCGAAAACAAGUGGGUCUCAAUGGAGCACGGGCCUGUUGAUUCUUUACGUUUUUUUGAUGCGGGAAAAGGCUUCGUUCUGGAAAGAGAAAAUUCCCAAUGGUGGACGACGGUUCAGAUGUCGGGCGAAAAAAUACGCCGGACCUCCUCCAGCGGUUAUUGACUGUCCUCUUUCGGAAAACACCACUGGAUUUAAGCCUAGGAGUGCCUUUGGCGUCGAAACAAAACGAGGAGUAUUGGCAGACACCCUUGAUGUUUCAUGGUGAAAUUAUGGACAUAAAUUAUGACAAAAUAAUUAAAUAAG